rnacentral:rRNA from 1 species
AGCGAACGCUGGCGGCAGGCCUAACACAUGCAAGUCGAACGAACUCUUCGGAGUUAGUGGCGGACGGGUGAGUAACACGUGGGAACGUGCCUUUUGGUUCGGAAUAACUCAGGGAAACUUGUGCUAAUACCGAAUGUGCUCUUCGGGGGAAAGAUUUAUCGCCAUUAGAGCGGCCCGCGUCUGAUUAGCUAGUUGGUGAGGUAACGGCUCACCAAGGCGACGAUCAGUAGCUGGUCUGAGAGGAUGACCAGCCACACUGGGACUGAGACACGGCCCAGACUCCUACGGGAGGGAGCAGUGGGGAAUCUUGCGCAAUGGGCGAAAGCCUGACGCAGCCAUGCCGCGUGAAUGAUGAAGGUCUUAGGAUUGUAAAAUUCUUUAACCGGGGACGAUAAUGACGGUACCCGGAGAAGAAGCCCCGGCUAACUUCGUG